GUCUAUGGCCACACCACCCUGAACGCACCACAUCUUGUCUGAUCUCAGAAACUAAGCAGGGUCAGGCCUGGUUAGUACUUGAAUGGGAGAAGAAAGAGAGACUAUGUCUGGUGACCAUGGGAC
rnacentral:rRNA from 1 species